GGGUAGAGCAGUUGGUAGCUCGUCGGGCUCAUAACCCGGAGGUCGUAGGUUCAAAUCCUGCCCCC
rnacentral:tRNA from 1 species